rnacentral:lncRNA from 1 species
UCCUAUUUCAAGCGUCUUAACCUUUGUGAAAAAGAGCGACAAUACCAUCUUGAUGAUCAACCGUCAGAUGAAGAAGAGGAUGAGAUAGUAAGAAACGAACAGGAUCAAGAAAACGAAGAGGAUGCAAGAAGGUACCCUGCAAGGGAUAGACAACGAACAAACUUUUAUCAUGAUCCGGACUCGGCAAUUCUCAGUCAUUAAGUUAUGAACUGGUAAAUAGGGUCCAGGUACUAUUAAAAAAUAUUUUGAGUUAUAGUUUUGCAUGUUCUGAAGUUAGAAAGUAUUAAAUGCGAAGGUAGGGAGGAGUGUGAUGAUGACGUCAACGUCACAUACCGUAUAUAGACAACAAUGCUUUGCGAGGACAGAAGGUAGACCGCAUGGCGGACAGAGCAUGGC